GACCAUUGACUGAUUGCUGACGACUAUGUGUAGACUAACUUGAAAUGUGAAACUUUUCAAUAAGUCCUUGAGGAGUCCCUACACUUUUGUGGUUUUUACCUCCAGGAGCCCCACCAGGUUCUCAGAGUGAAAAGGGGUAGGUAGAGCAGGGUAACCAUUUGGAAACAUGGCCAGAGGAUUCUGUUCUUCUUAACAAAAGCUUAUUUUUGAAAGAAACUAUUUUUCCUGAUUACAUUGUUUUUUUAACAGAAUCUAUCUCACUGCAGGAUGGAAAAUACUCUACCCCACACUAGCUAAAAAGCAAAAACAGAGUUUGAAGAGACAGAGAAAACAUUGGAGCAAGACUCAACUAUGGCAGAGAUGGUAUCACACGGGCAUUUUGAAAUGACUAUGCUUAAUGUGCUAAAGGAGUAAUGGAAAAAAUGGACAGCAUGCAAUAAGUGAUGAGUAAGUUCAGCAGAGAGAUGGACAUUCUAAAGGAAUGCUAGAAAAAAAAUAUUGUUACAGAAAUGAAGAAUGAGCUCAAUUGAUGGGCUUUUUGGCAGCCUAAACACAGCUGAGGACAGAAUCAACUGUGCCUCCUGGAAAAUAUGCCAGUGGAAACCUUCAAAACUGAAAAGCAAAGAGAAAGACUUAAGAAAACAGAACAGAAAAUCUAAGAACUGUGGAAUAAUAACAGAAGAUGCAAUACCUAUGUAAUUAGAAUACCAGAAACGAAAGAAAGAAAGAAAGAAAGAAAGAAAGAAAGAAAGAAAGAAAGAAAGAAAGCAAGCAAGCAGAAGAGAUACUUGUAGCAAAUAGUGACCGAAAAUAUCCCAAGAUUAAUGCCAGACACCAAACCACAGUUCCAGGAAUGCUCAGCGAACACUAAGAAGAAUAAUGGCAAACAAACAAACACAAACAUAAAAAGCCUGUACCUAGGCAUAUGAUUUUCAAACUGAAGAAUUUCAAAUGUAAAGACAAUAAUCUGGACGAUACCAGAGGGGAAAAACACCUUAUUUAUAGAGGAGCAGGGAUAAGAAUUAUAUUGAGCUUUUCUUUAAAAACCAUGCAGGCAAGAAAAGCGCAGGGUGAAAUAUUUAAAGCAUUGCAAGAAAAAAGAAUCAUCGGCGUAGAUAAAGACUUUCUCAGACAAAGAGAAAUUGUUCAGAUUUGUCUUCAAUAGACUUGCCUUGCAAGAAAUUUUAAAAGUUCUUCAAGCCUGGUGCAGUGGUGUGCACCUGGGAUUCCCAACAAUUUAGUGGCUGAGGCAGGGAGGAUCAUUCAAGCCCAGGAAUUCAAGUCCAGUCUGAGCAACAACAGAGACCAAGACCACAUUUCAAGAAAAGGAGGAGGAGAAGAUGAUUAACUUUAGCUAGCUCUGAUAACACUGCAGCCUAAUCCAUCCUCCAUCCCCAAGCAUUUACUGAUGUAGCUGACUCUUUAGUAAUCAGAGCAUUUGUUUAUUGUUACUUUAUCUUUUCUCUCUCUUCCUCUUCACCUACACACACAGAUUCUUUUUUUUUCCCCUCAGCUGAUGCUAGUUUCUUGAGGGCAGGAAUAGGAUUUCAAUUUAAUUGUCUCAAGUAACUUCUGUGAUGCUCUGCAGGGCAUGUAAAUAGGGUGUGUUUAACAGAGGCAGGUGGAUUGAAUCUAUCGUUAGCCCUAUCGUUCUUUUCGGUUGCAUAAGUGGGUGCAAUCAGACAUGUACAUAUUUGUGACCAUAACAAAAAUGGAAAUAACUGUGAACAUAAACAACUUUUAUUUGUGUGGUAAUUUUCAGUUUGUUCUUUCUUCCUGAAAAGUUAUUUCCCUACCUCUUUCUAUAUAUGGCGAGUCUCAUCUUUUGGGUCUCUCUCAAAUGUUACUUCCAGUUUGUUAAUAUUUUCUGAUUUCCCCCUCACCUUUAUCUCAAUGGUUUCUAAGCUUUCCAAGACUUUCUGGGCAUUAUACUAAUCCUGGAAGAAUUUUUAGAAUACAGAUUCCUGUACCCAGCCCCAGAAAUACAGAAUCAGGAAUGCUUAGAUACAGUUCCAUGAGUCUGAUUCUCAUGCCAGCAAAACUAGUUUGGUGCACUAUUUUUUUGAAAAAAAAAA